rnacentral:rRNA from 1 species
CACCGCGGUUAUACGAGCAGGCCUAAACUGAUAGAAUCCGGCGCAAAGGGUGGUUAACGGCCCCGACAUACUAGAACCGAACACCCUCAUGGCUGUUAUACGCAUCCGAGGUGUAGAAAAACCUUUACGAAAGUAGUUCUAUAAAUGUGACCCCACGAAAGCUAGGAAA